UACGUAGGCGGCAAGCGUUGUCCGGAUUUAUUGGGUUUAAAGGGUGCGUAGGCGGCUUUGUAAGUCAGUGGUGAAAUAUGGCAGCUUAACUGUCAAGGUGCCAUUGAUACUGCGGAGCUUGAGUACAGAUGAGGUAGGCGGAAUUGACGGUGUAGCGGUGAAAUGCUUAGAUAUCGUCAAGAACACCUAUAGCGAAGGCAGCUUACUAGGCUGUAACUGACGCUGAGGCACGAAAGUGUGGGGAUCAAACAGG
rnacentral:rRNA from 1 species